AUGGCAUCAAAACGACAGUAUAAGACAAUUCUGAAUUCCGAUGGGACUCAACCAGAUACACCAAGAUCCUCAAAAUACAGAAAACUUCAACAGAAAAAGAAACAGAAGAAAUUGUUAUACAAGAGAUUUCUUCAUACAUCUCCAAUUUCCCAAACAACUAAUUACAGAAGAAAAGUUUACAAAAAGAUUCCUCUCUCAAAUCCUACUGAAGAGAAGAACGAACUUGAAAGCACAAAAGAAAGAGAACAAGAGGAUAGACAGAUAGAUUAUGUAAAUACAAUUGAGGAAAGAGAGAAAGAUUUUGAAAAUGGACAAGAGGACCGAGAGGAAGAUAAUGGAAAUGGAAAUGAGGAAGGUGAGGAAGAUGAUGGAUAUGGACAAGAGGACAGAGAGGAAGAUGAUGGAGAUGGACAUGAGCACAGAGAGGAAGAUGAUGGAAGUGGAAAUGAGGAAGGUGAGGAAGAUGAUGGAGAUGGACAAGAGGUAAACACAGAAGGUGAUGGAAGUGGAAAUGAGGAAGAAGAGGGAAAUGAGCAAGAGGACAGAGAAAUAGAUGGUGAAAGUGAAGAAGAUGGAAGUGAACAAGAGGAGACAGAGGAAAAGGAUGGAAGUAGACAAGGACAGAGAUCAGGAAAAGAGAGGAGCCAAGGAAAUGAUAAUUCAAACCAAAGGAAGAAACAACAUGAAGAUGAUCCUGUAUACCCUGGUGCUCCUCUCACAAAGGGACAGAGUCUGCUCUUACUCAUGUCGUAUGUACUGCGCCACAAUUUGACAGAAGUAGCUCUUCAGGAUCUCCUUACUAUGUUCAAUGAACAUUUCCCUGGCUUGGUGCCAGCAACUUCAUAUCUUUUCCAUAAAGCAUAUGGACAAUUUGGCCAGUAUGUGCCACAUUUUUAUUGUAUCAACUGUGAAAGCUACUUGGGAGCUACUGAGACAGCACCACAAAACUGUUCUUCUUGUAAAGCUAAAUUUGACGCAGAGAAAAACCUAAGGGCUGGAUCUUACUUUCUAGUACUUAGUCUAUCAGCCCAAAUAACAGACAUUUUGGAAAAACCAGAGCUUAGUUUGAAUAAAAGGGAAUCAAUUCCAGGCAUUGUUUCCGAUAUUCAGUUUGGGGAAGAAUAUCAAAAGAUCAAGCAGAGUGGACAAAUGGGGCUUGAUGACAUAUCAGUCUUGUGGAAUUGUGAUGGAAUUCCUGUUUUUAAAAGUAAUAAUGUUCAGAUAUGGCCAAUCCAGUGUCAAAUUAUUGAGCUGUCACCAAGUGAUCGUGAAAGGAACAUAUGUGUACCGUGCUUAUGGGUUGGUAACAGCAAGCCAAAUAUGAUCACAUUUUUAACUGCUUUUGUGUCACAGCUCAAGGAACUACAACAGAUUGGAAUCAAAUGGAGGGACACUGAAAACGUAGAGCAUACAAGCAAGGUUCAUUCACUCCUCUGCUCUUCUGAUUCAAUUGCCCGGCCCCUCCUGAGAAACUCGAAGCAGUUCAAUGGAAAAUAUGGUGUGACUUUUGCCUCCACUACGGUGGUGGCCCAUAUAUUUGGGAAACACCUGAACCACCUUUAAGGACAGAGACAGAUCAUUUCCGGCAUGCUAUGCUGGCAACACCUGCUCAACCAGGAAUGGGUGUAAAAGGACCAUCACCUUUGAUGGAACUUGAAAGCUUUAACAUGAUCACAGGCUUCGUUCCAGAGUACCAGCACAGUGUCUGCCUUGGUGUAACUAAACAGAUAACAUCUCUGUGGCUGGACAGUAAACACCAUAAGGAAGAUUGGUACUUGGGCUUAAAGACCAAUGACAUAGACCAGGGGCUCAAGGCCAUUAACCCACCUUUGGAAGUCACAAGGGCCCCAAGAUCAGUGAAAGACCGAAAAUUCUGGAAAGCAUCUGAAUGGAGGUCUUUUUUGUUGUUUUAUGCUUUGCCUGUUUUGAGUGGUAUUUUGAAAAAGAAAUACUGGAAUCAUCUUUUUUUAUUAGUUUUUUCAAUGCACACUCUUCUUCAUGAUGCCAUCAAAGCAAACCAUGUGGAUAUGGCAGAACGAGCUCUUCGAAAGUUUGUGCGUAACUUUGAGAAACUUUAUGGUGCUAAAAAUGUUUCUUUCAAUGUGCAUUUAUUAAUGCACUUAGCAACAAGUGUGCGAAACUGGGGCCCGCUGUGGGCAACAUCCACAUUCCCAUUCGAAUCUUUUAAUGGAACAUUGCUGAAGUUUUUCAACGGAACAACGCAUGUGCUAGAUCAAGUAGUUAAGAGAUUCCUUAGGUGGAGGGCUCUCUCAGCAAAAGCAGGGACUACAAUGGCAAAUGCUAAUGAAAACAUACAAAUUUUUUUUGACAAACUCCAAAAUAGAUCUGCUUUAAGACAGAAGUCAAAGAAGUUUCAAGAUAAUGUCAGAGGUUUUGGUUGCCCGAAGAAAGGUACCACAUCUGUGCUGCAGAGGAUGGCUAUUGAAGAAUUUACUGGUGACACCGUUAAUUCCGGUUUAUUUUAUGACCGUUUCACUUGUAGCGGAGUUCUUUAUCAUUCCUGCAAGAGCACAACUCUUAAAAAGAGAAACAAUUCUGUUGUCCAGUUAAAUGACGGAACAUUCUGUGAAAUUCUGACACUGGGGGAUUUUACGUGUGAGGACGGGGCAUCUACUGCAUCCACCAACAACAGAUUCUGUGUUUUAGUUAAAGAGCUUGCCAAGAGUGGAGGAACGUUGUGUAGAGAUGCUCAGCUAAAUAUAUCCUCAACAUUUAUAUAUGAAGUGUCUCACACCAAUAAUGUGUUUGCUGUCCCUCCGCAAUCACUCAAACGUAAAUGUGUACUGGUUAGGUCUAAGGACAAACUGUAUGUCAUCCCACUUCCAAACAACAUUGAAAGAGACUAACUGACUCCUGGGGAACUACUUCUGCAGCUUUACUGAUGUCAAUGCCAAUUGUUGUUUUUAAGCUUUAUUUCUGCCUAAAAUUAACAGUGAUAUGUUACAAGUUUUUGAUAACUGAUUAUAAUAUAAUGUAUUAAAGCAGUGUGAGUGAAAUUAAUUUUUUGGCCAUGCAAUAUAGACAGUGUUUACUUGGCUGUACUUGUGACAUCACAAUCCAGUAGCUGAACUUCCUGUCCAGUAGAACACAUUUUCUUGUGUUCAUAUGGUGUGCUGUUGGUAUAAAAUUGGAUUGAUGUUUAUACGUUGGACCUCUCUGUGUAUAAAUUUAUUAAAAAUACUUAAAUCACAAUUAGCCUUUUGUGCAGAGCAU
rnacentral:lncRNA from 12 species